rnacentral:rRNA from 1 species
UGCAGUCGAGCGAGAUCUUCGGAUCUAGCGGCGGACGGGUUAGUAACGCGUGGGAACGUACCCAAAGGUAGGGAAUAGCCACUGGAAACGGUGAGUAAUACCCUAUGUGCCCUUCGGGGGAAAGAUUUAUCGCCUUUGGAUCGGCCCGCGUUAGAUUAGAUAGUUGGUGGGGUAACGGCCUACCAAGUCUACGAUCUAUAGCUGGUUUUAGAGGAUGAUCAGCAACACUGGGACUGAGACACGGCCCAGACUCCUACGGGAGGCAGCAGUGAGGAAUAUUGGACAAUGGGGGCAACCCUGAUCCAGCCAUGCCGCGUGAGUGAUGACGGCCUUAGGGUUGUAAAGCUCUUUCGCUAGGGAAGAUAAUGACGGUACCUAGUAAAGAAGCCCCGGCUAACUUCGUGCCAGCAGCCGCGGUAAUACGAAGGGGGCUAGCGUUGUUCGGAAUCACUGGGCGUAAAGCGCGCGUAGGCGGACUUUUAAGUCAGGGGUGAAAUCCCGGGGCUCAACCUCGGAACUGCCUUUGAUACUGGAAGUCUUGAGUUCGAGAGAGGUGAGUGGAAUACCGAGUGUAGAGGUGAAAUUCGUAGAUAUUCGGAGGAACACCAGUGGCGAAGGCGGCUCACUG